CCUACAACCCGAAAAUCGUCAGAAGUCUUCCACCCAACGGCCCGAGGCGGCACACCACAGAUUCCGAGCCCGACAGCCAGACCUUCAACACUCCUGCUCCUACUAUUGACGAGAAAGCCGUGACGCAGAUGCUUGAGGACGUCAACCUCGACGAAGUCUUUGC